UGUGGUAGAGUAAUGCCCCUUGUAUUACUGACAAGGCAACAGAAACACCUCACCAGCCUGAGUCUGUUUUAUCACUGUCUCAUCAGCCACAGCAUGGUGUGCUUCAGCAAUGCUUGAAGCAGAAACAAAUUAAGACAAAUGAAUUACAACACAGUUAUGAAAACUUAGACAGAACUCUCUUAAGAAAACAAGAAAGGCAGGACCUAGACAAAGAAUACACAUAUGCUGAGGAACAAGACUUACUUGAUACUUCUACUAAUAGCGAGUGCCGCCUUCUGCUGGGAAUGGAAGAACCUCAAAUGGUGCUAGAAACAAACUAUUUCAUAUCUCGUCACGUAAAGACACAUUGUCACAGAUUUAGAAGAUGGAUUCGUGGCAGAAGGAACUACUGCUAUCACUCCUUGAGACAGAAGAGUGCCUUGCAUCUGCUGUUCUAUAUUUACUUGCUGUUCAUACACUUGUGGGCAUUCAGCUGUCCAUUGUUAUAAAAGGAGCUUUCAGGUUUAUUGGGGGAAAAUUAUUAGUCAUUAGCCAGUACCAACCGUCACAUUAUUUCUGUGAUAUGUCUUUUUUUUUUUAACUAUGUAAAUAUCUAAAUUUUUUCGUAUUAGAGCAGUUUGUUGAACAGAGACCAUAACCAUUCAUAUCUUGCCUCAGAAAUCUUUUACAUAAAGAUUUAUUACUGACUGCAUUUAUUCAAAUUUUAUUUUAAAUAUUGUAGUAGUUAAUAGUAUAAAGCUUUUGUCUUCCAGUUGCAGAAUGAUUGUUUGUUAACUUAAUUUAUAUUUUGUUCAUGUUUAUUGGGCAUAUCAAGUGAAAUACAGUGUGCUAAGUUUUUGUGAUUCUGACAUUUAAAUUCAAGUGCUUCCUUAUGGUAUGAAGAUAGAAAGGAGACAUGUUUCACUCAGUUUCUGAAGGCUUUAAACCCAGUAAAACUGUGACUUAAUUUUAGCUUUAUUUAAGCUUUCUCUUUUGACUAACUUUUAUAUUAAAAGACUUUUUUUCAAAAUAUAUACUUCUGUACCUCUCUAUGCAGGUCAGGUUUUAUAAGCUGCUUUCUUAUAAAUGACCAGUUUCACACUAUUUCUGUAAAUGAAAAAUCUUAGUAUUAUAUAUUAAUUCACAAAGCUAUUCCUGUACAGGGCUUAGAUUGUCUAAUUGUAGUGCACAUGUAUGAAUCUUGUCUGUUUUUGCUCUUAUAUUGUGCAGUACUUGAAAAAUUGUGUAGCUUUGAAACAAUAUCCUAAACCACCUAUUACUAAAUCUGUGUUUACAUCUCCUACAAGAAUGUGUAUAUAUACCACUUGCAGUCCUUGUGUACAGUUUACACAACUUUUAUUUUACUUCAGGGUAAUUACCUUAAGCAAUAUCCUAAACCACCUAUUACAGAAUCUGUGUUUAUAUAUCCUACCAGAAUGUACAUAUAUCACUUGCAAUCCAUGUGUACAGUUUUCAAGAAGUUUUAUUUUGUUUUAGGAUAAUUAGCAUAGCCACCUGCUCAUCUACAUGGUUGAUUCCUUCUCCAAAUCAGGGUUAAACUUUUUUAGAUGGAAAUUUCAGUUUUUAUUCUAUUCAGACUGAGUGAUAUAAUAUAGGUAUUCAAACUUAACUGACAAAAUGUAAAAUUUACCAAAUGAUGUAUUUUUUUUAUUACUGCCUACUUGUUUAAAAGAUGUAAACUUUAUUCAUGUUGUAAAGUAUCCUUUGAAUUAUUUAUUUUGAACUUUGGAUAUUGAUUUAUUUACCCAAUUAUGGCAAGAUACAAAUAUUGUUAACUUAAAACAAUCAAAUUUCUAUUAAAAACUUAGUUGUAUUAUAAACAUUAACUGAUUUAAUUAUUUGUUCUUAAUGAAGAAUGCUAUUUGAAUGAAAUGUGUUUUUAACAACUUCUCUUUUUUUGGAAUUCUAAAUGCUAAAUGUACGAGGUAUUUCAUGAAAAUAAUGUAAUUAGAAAAACUUAACAGAAACUUCAUACUCAGUUUAUCAGUGUUUAUGUUUUUGUUUAAUUACUUAACCAAGUUACUAAAAACAAUAAGUAGUUAGUACAAGUACUGGGGUACUGAAACUCUUAUGCAUUAAAAAUUCUAAAGUGGAAAAAAAAAAGCCAUAAGCACGUAUGCAUUGUAUAUGAAAGAUAAUUAAGUUGGAAUGUAAUACUUCAUGUAUUUUCUGCAAAUGUUGAAGGUAAUUAAGUAACUUGUGUGAUAUUUAACAGUUAAAAGCAAGAUAAUUCACUCUCUUUAAUAAAUGAAAUUGAAGAUUUUGAUAUUUAAUUUUGAUGCAAAAUCUAACUAGACUUAUCAGAUGUCAAAGGUCGUAUUGCCCAAACCAAAUGUUUCAAAAUGGAAGAUGUAAUUAUAACUUUCUAGCAGUUUAACAUGUGCUAUCUGAAACCUUUUUUUUUUCCCUCGGACAAUGUUUUUUUUAUGAAGCGAAAGGCAGCUUGAUACCAAUGGUUUGCUUGUACAUUUAUAAUCAGUGUAGUUUAUAGAAAUUAUCUUACAUAUUAUUAACGAUUGAUUAAAUAUGCAAAUGUCAUUCUAUUGUUUCUUAUUCUUGUGAUUAAUUCUAUGAAAAUAACUGGCUUACCCAUUCAAUGCAUGGGGAAGACAUAGGAGGAUCAGAUUUGAGUGCAUACCUCACCCAGUGUUCCUGUGUCACUUCCUCCCAGGGGACGGGAGGCCCUAAGAAUACAUACCAUUUUUGGUGGCAGUUGAUUCAGCGGUUUAGCUGUUACAGGAAAAUUCACAGACUUUUUUGUCAAAUAAUGGUUUAAAUACACAUUUUGUUAUUGUAUCACACAUCAUAACUUACUGUUCACGUGUAAGAAGUGGUUGAUUUUUAGUAACCUACUUAGGGAAAGUGUUAAAAGUAUCAAUUUAAAUAUUGUUUGAUGUAAGAGACCUACAUCCUUAGUUCAUUUCACUUACGAAAGUAGUUUUAUUGAUUUUUAAAAUGUUUAUUAAGACUCAUUCUGUUUAAUAAGUUACCAGAAAUAUCAUGAUAGUACCCCUCGUGUUGCCCACUUGCUUUUAAAUCGGUUAAAAGUAACAGAUAAAGUUUACAAUAAGUAAAAAUAUAGUAAUAAAAUAUGCAUGUAGAAAAUAACUUAAAACCAAUAACUGAUAAACGAUAUACUCAGAAUGAUUAUGUUUAAAGGUGUUGAAGAAAUUUUCAGAGUUUAGCCAAAAGAAGGAUUUUUUUUAUGCUUGGAAAACUCUACCUUUAGUAGAUUUGCACGGAAUUGAACAAACAAUCAUUUUUGACGUGCCACAUACAGUAAAUCUGAUGGCUUAUACUGCAAAAACCAAAAAAAAUAAUUUCGAUAUCUGUGGUGGGCACAGCACGGAUAGCCCAUUGUGUAGCUUUGCGCUUGACAUCAAAUAAAAAAAACAUUGUAUGACGUGCUUGCGUGUCAGAUUUUGCCUAUUUUUAUAUAUAUUAAACACUAAUAACAUAAGAUCUAAUUAUAUAAUUUUAUUUAUCCCCACUCCAAUUUGAGAGGGCUAACAACGCCAAUAGCCGACGUUCAGUUUCAGUCAAGGGACACAGUACAUGUAGCCCCAUUGUGUAAAAACAAAACUAACCAACAUUUUAUAUAUAUACAUGAAUUUAAAUUACUACUACCCACGUGGAAUUUUGGAGAGUUGAGCACGUUCAAAGUAAUCCACGUGUUUUUAAUGUAAAAUUACUUCUUGUUCGUUUUUAUUUUUUUUAUUAAACAUUUAUCAAAUGUAAAAAAAAAGAUUUCUUCGCCGAAACACGGGUCGUGUUUGUGUCAAUUCUCCUGUGGUUCGAUUCGUUCUGCGAACAUGAUUUAUCACCCUAGUGCAAGUAUAAUACAGAUGUUUGACUUCUGUUGUUUAACACGUAAAUUGUAUGAGGGAACAGAACAUGAAUUACAUCCAUUUGACUGGGAAAACUAAAGAAUGUAGUGAGUGUUGGAUCAUAGAAAAUGAAUGUAUUAAGUGUAUAUAAUGAUAUCUAUUGAACUUUACCUGGCGGAUAUUAGGUAACAUGUACAUGUUUGAAAAUAAAAAGUUUAUGCUUA
rnacentral:lncRNA from 1 species